UUUUAUGUUUGUAAAAAGAAAAAAAACACUCUUUUUCCUUUUCCUUUGCCGACACCGUUAAAACCUAUGGUUCUUCUCCCUCCGCCUAUCCCUCACCCGUACCGCCGGCGGCAGGUGGAGGUGGAGGUGGAGGUGGUGGUAAUGGAGGAGGCAGGUACAGGCGGCGGAGCCGCUCGGACGAAGAAGAGGAGCGGCACCGCGAGAGAGGGCGAGGGCGGGCGGGCGGAGGCGAGGAGGAAGGGGCGGGGGUGGAGGGUGAACCGGCAGCGGCCGUGUCUACUCGCCCUACGCCUCCUCUUCCUCCUCAAGCACCAGCAAUGGAAGAUGUUCGACCGAGGGCACCUCCUGGGGGCGCGGCUCCACCGGCGCGUGGAGGUGAAGGAGGUCCCUGCUCUGUAUGUGCCAGCGUAGAUGUACUUGCUCGUCCCCUAGUUGCGAGUCAUGUCACCAGGCGCGUUUCUACGUUACCGCAUGCGCCUGACCGAGUCCUGUCUGGGAGCGAAGAGACUAUAUGAGCAGGUUCAAAGCGGUCGCAAUUGGCCCGUACGAAAAGGAGCGGAGUUUGACGCGAUGUUUGUUAGUGAACAAGUCAACCUUCCUCCCUCAACAGUAGAAGGAAACCACCUUGGAUCGUACGCGCGAAGUGGUGACUGGGGUAGGCUCACCUCCCUCUUUGAACUUCGAUCCUUUGCGGAACUUUGGCUUCGUCGACCUCUAUGGAGACUUGCUUUCGAAAACGAGGAACUACAAUCCUUGCUGAUACUUACCCUGUAACCCGUAAAACUUCCUCGGUUCUCCGGAUUGCACCUGACGAAGUCUUCGUGAAGUAAACCCGACAGUCUCGUCCUCUAACUAAGCUGCCUGGGAGACGUACCCCAUCUGUUUCUCUUCUGUCUGUAUAAUUACAUGACGUGUCCACCGUAUUCUACACUGCAUAUGAGUUGCUAAAACUCCCUCUUCCCAAAGCCCUUGGACAUGUGAGAGUUCCCUCCGCACAGGUUGAUGGACUUCUACCUUCCCUCGCGCCUCACCCAACCAUUGGACAAACACAAACUGCUGGCCGACAGGGACGGUGGCCGGUUCAAACGUCUCCGUCUUCCGCGUCCUCUUCUUCCACCACCGCUGUUCCCCCUCCACACCAGCAGCGCUACCGACCCCGCCACGAUGCACACGCCCAGCCUCCACCUCCUCGACGCCGUGGCGUUGACGCGGUCGUAGCUGACGUUGGCCGAGAUGGACACGACACCACCCACGAACCUCCUCGACUCCCCGACGACGACAUCCCUCACGUCCCCGCGCGGUGCCGACGCCGGCGACGACGGCCCCGUGGUCUCUAUGCUGUUCACCGUAGACAUGGCGCUGCCUGCUGGUAGAGUUCGACUCGACUCGACUCGACUCCACUCGUAGUAGGUCAGGUUCACGUCAGUAAACUUCAUCACCGAAGUUCUCCUAAUGAACACAUAUAUAAAGACACCCAGCAUGGUGGUAAAAAGAACGAAAGACUAAACAACCACGUAGAAAAAAAAGCAAGAAAAUUAACUAUUCAUGAUCGUACGUCACAUCACAUCAUCUUCUUCUUCUACUCCACUGUCUCUCUCUGUAAGACA
rnacentral:rRNA from 1 species